GAUAAACGCUGGCGGUGCGCCUAAGACAUGCAAGUCGAGCGCCCGGACCCAUGAAACUUGAAGUGCUUGCACGGACGGUGGAUUGGAUUUUUCCGGGAGCGGCGGACGGGUGAGUAACACGUUGGGAUCUACCCCUUAGUGAGGGAUAACUCCGAGAAAUCGGGGCUAAUACCGCAUAUUGUCUUCGGACCAAAGCCUUCGGGCGCUAAGGGAGGACCCUGCGGCCUAUCAGCUUGUUGGUGAGGUAAUGGCUCACCAAGGCAUUGACGGGUAGCUGGUGUGAGAGCACGAUCAGCCACAAUGGAACUGAGACACGGUCCAU
rnacentral:rRNA from 1 species